UUGUUAUCCAAUUUUAUAUUUUCCGAUUAUAUUUUACCAAUUGAUUUGAUUUCAUCACAGGAUGAGUUAUUUUCUUUUUAGAAGUAGAAGUGCAGAAAUGGAUUGACAUCAAAGUUUUUACGUUCCUUUAUUUAAUAUCUGCAACAAGUGGAGUUUUGAUUUUUGGGAAACUUUGGGAAGAUCAAUUUACGGCUUCGGUUGUGCAAAUGAAACUAACUGUUACACCCGCUCAUACUGUUAGAGCUUCUCCAUGAGGAUCCCCUAAAUGCCGUUUAGAACUCUUGGCUGUUCUUGCAGAGACGAAUUUGCCAUCUCUCAGUGGGUCUUGCCAUGUCCCCUCUGCAGGGACGAGACCAUUUUUAGGCAGUCUAGACCAGGCGAACGCGACUGAAGGGUUGGUACAAAUAUUGCAUACGUAUGUCAACUACCAAAUCACUUUGAACCCUUUUAACAUGAAGCUAAUACAACCGACAAUCAUCACAACAACUUGCAUCCACUACAAUGGAGUUACAUAUGAUGGCAGUAUAAGCACUCAAAUGCUGGUUGAGCUUUAAGAUAUAAUGAUGGGAAAAAAGCCAGGUUAAGGUCUGGAUGGUU